rnacentral:rRNA from 1 species
CACGAACGCUGGCGGCAGGCUUAACACAUGCAAGUCGAGCGCCCCGCAAGGGGAGCGGCAGACGGGUGAGUAACGCGUGGGAAUCUACCCAUCUCUACGGAAUAACCCAUGGAAACGUGUGCUAAUACCGUAUACGUCCUUCGGGAGAAAGAUUUAUCGGAGAUGGAUGAGCCCGCGUUGGAUUAGCUAGUUGGUGGGGUAAAGGCCUACCAAGGCGACGAUCCAUAGCUGGUCUGAGAGGAUGAUCAGCCACACUGGGACUGAGACACGGCCCAGACUCCUACGGGAGGCAGCAGUGGGGAAUAUUGGACAAUGGGCGCAAGCCUGAUCCAGCCAUGCCGCGUGAGUGAUAAAGGCCCUAGGGUUGUAAAGCUCUUUCACCGGUGAAGAUAAUGACGGUAACCGGAGAAGAAGCCCCGGCUAACUUCGUGCCAGCAGCCGCGGUAACAC